rnacentral:rRNA from 1 species
UUUACACAUGCAAGUCGGACGGCAGCACAGAGAAGCUUGCUUCUUGGGUGGCGAGUGGCGAACGGGUGAGUAACAUAUCGGAACGUACCGAGUAAUGGGGGAUAACUAAUCGAAAGAUUAGCUAAUACCGCAUAUUCUCUGAGGAGGAAAGCAGGGGACCUUCGGGCCUUGCGUUAUUCGAGCGGCCGAUAUCUGAUUAGCUAGUUGGUGGGGUAAAGGCCUACCAAGGCGACGAUCAGUAGCGGGUCUGAGAGGAUGAUCCGCCACACUGGGACUGAGACACGGCCCAGACUCCUACGGGAGGCAGCAGUGGGGAAUUUUGGACAAUGGGCGCAAGCCUGAUCCAGCCAUGCCGCGUGUCUGAAGAAGGCCUUCGGGUUGUAAAGGACUUUUGUCAGGGAAGAAAAGGCUGUCGCUAAUACCGACAGUUGAUGACGGUACCUGAAGAAUAAGCACCGGCUAACUACGUGCCAGCAGCCGCGGUAAUACGUAGGGUGCAAGCGUUAAUCGGAAUUACUGGGCGUAAAGCGAGCGCAGACGGUUACUUAAGCAGGAUGUGAAAUCCCCGGGCUCAACCUGGGAACUGCGUUCUGAACUGGGUGACUAGAGUGUGUCAGAGGGAGGUAGAAUUCCACGUGUAGCAGUGAAAUGCGUAGAGAUGUGGAGGAAUACCGAUGGCGAAGGCAGCCUCCUGGGAUAACACUGACGUUCAUGCUCGAAAGCGUGGGUAGCAAACAGGAUUAGAUACCCUGGUAGUCCACGCCCUAAACGAUGUCAAAUAGCUGUUGGGCAACUUGAUUGCUUAGUAGCGUAGCUA